UUUUGGUUGCCGCGCUGGUUCACGAAAGCUAAGAGAGUGCAGCAGCCAGCGUAUCGUUUGGAGAAUAAAACUGCAUUUAAAAACAACGGAGGAAAUUACUUGACCCGCCACAACAACAAUGGCCUUAUUUACGCGAGUUUUUUAAGUCCUUGAAAUAGAAGAACGAGUCCUUCGUGUCUUCUCAGCCUGCCUCGAAACUGUGCUAUUUCUUUUUACAAGAAUACUCCUUCAAAUCUAAGGAAACGCGUAGAGAGAAAGCAUGGUAGCCAACAUUAAAAGGUAUGUUACUGUAACAUCAUCAAGGAAAAGAAACCUGGAAAGUGAGGAGGCUCCAUCAACCUCCAGAUAGUAAAAGAAAACUCCUGUGAACCUGUGCUUAAUUCAAGUUUUUACUACACUUAAACUGUUAAAUUAUUUAACAAAUAAAUCAUGAAAUGAGA